rnacentral:rRNA from 1 species
AUUGAACGCUGGCGGCAGGCUUAACACAUGCAAGUCGAGCGGGGGAGGUUGCUUCGGUAACUGACCUAGCGGCGGACGGGUGAGUAAUGCUUAGGAAUCUGCCCAUUAGUGGGGGACAACAUUCCGAAAGGGAUGCUAAUACCGCAUACGCCCUACGGGGGAAAGCAGGGGAUCUUCGGACCUUGCGCUAAUAGAUGAGCCUAAGUCGGAUUAGCUAGUUGGUGGGGUAAAGGCCUACCAAGGCGACGAUCUGUAGCGGGUCUGAGAGGAUGAUCCGCCACACUGGGACUGAGACACGGCCCAGACUCCUACGGGAGGCAGCAGUGGGGAAUAUUGGACAAUGGGCGGAAGCCUGAUCCAGCCAUGCCGCGUGUGUGAAGAAGGCCUUUUGGUUGUAAAGCACUUUAAGCGAGGAGGAGGCUACUAGUACUAAUACUACUGGAUAGUGGACGUUACUCGCAGAAUAAGCACCGGCUAACUCUGUGCCAGCAGCCGCCGUAAGAC